UAUUCCAACACUAUUCUAUAUGAAGAGAACACACAUUUAUCAAACUGGUUUAAUGUUAAUUUUAAUUUUACUUCAUAUUUCUUACUAUUUUUCAAAUUUACCUUUAAAUUAUUAUCAUUUUCAUAAAUAUCUUAAAUUUAUUAUUAAAAGACAAAAUUAACCCUUCCAAAACAUUCAUAAAUAUAUAAGAAUUAGUUACAUAAGUUUAAAAACUCAACUUUACCACCUAAAUAAUAAAUAUUAAAUAAUAAUCGUU
rnacentral:lncRNA from 1 species